rnacentral:tRNA from 1 species
GCCCUGGGGUGUCAUCACGCAGGAUUGCAAAUCCUGAAAGGCAGGCUAAUACCUGCCGGGGCUU